AAAAUUUUUAUUAGAAUGUAAAAUUUUAAGAUAUCCAUAAUGGAAAAAUAAUUGAAUUAAAAUUCUAUACCCUGAUAAGUUAUUUCUGUUGAUGGGCAUUAAAUCAAUUUUGUAUUUUCAUGUUAUAAAAAUUAGGCCUAUUGAACAAAAAAAUCCAAAACUUUUAGGAUAUUCACGAUUGUAGUCAAAAUUCUACAUUAUGUAUUAUAACUGAGUUUUAGUUAGUGGACACAAUUAUAGCCAAAUGAAUAAAUUAAAUUUGAGAAAGUUAAUGAUAAAUUACAAUAUAGUCCCUGAAAUUUUAAUUGAUU
rnacentral:misc_RNA from 1 species